GGCUCUGUGGCGCAAUGGAUAGCGCAUUGGACUUCUAGGUGUAUAAGGAUAUUCAAAGGAUGUGGGUUUGAAUCCCACCAGAGUCG
rnacentral:tRNA from 1 species